GACGAGAUUUACCAUCAUUAGAUCAGAUUUUGGCAGCAACAAUAUCUAAUCCAAUCCGAUCUAUAUCUCCUAUUUCUAACCAAACUAAACUUGACCUUUGGAUCCGAUUUUCUCUAAUCCAAUUCAACCUAACUCUAGUCUAAAUUUAAGUUGUGCUUGGUUAGUGUUAAGUCAUAUCUGCAGCUAACCUUAACCUAACUUUG
rnacentral:lncRNA from 1 species